UCAAUCCAAACUUCCAAACAUGCAUAAACCAUAACAAAGAUCAAACAAACAUGUCUUUGAAUGAUAUGGGAGUUUUAUAAAAAAAAAAGUACUAAGGCAAAGAAACAAACAUGUAUUUGACUCGCAUCAUGCCAAAGUCCAAACUUCAAACAAUGCAUCUGAUACCUAAACCCAAAAAAAAAAACAAACCAAAUUAUGUAUAUUUAGAGACAAAGAAUGAAACAAACAAUGAUUCAUAUAUUACUUACAUAAAGCUGAGAUUUAAAGUUGAGAAGAUGAGAAUCAUUCAGCUUGAUUGGUUGGAUAUCAGAUUCUGUACAUGUAAAUAAUGGGAAAAAGUAUACUCGUCAAACAUUUCACGCAAAGCUCUGAAGAGUGUGUUUGAUUGGAUUGAGAGGAUUGCGUCUGAGUGUUUGGCAGUUUUUGAGUAUAUCUAACAGUAUACUCGUCAAACAUUGCACGCAGAGCAAUAACAGUUAACUGAUGCAGCUCUUGUGCUUUUUUUACCAUAUAACCUCUCAAAACACAUAUCAGCCAAAUCCAUCUUCUUCCUAGGAUCAAAUACUGAAGCUAUAAUCAAAAUCUUAUUAAAAUCUUUCAUACCAUCCCAAUACUUAUCAAACUUCAUGAACAUCCCAUUAGCCUUACUCUUCAACUCUAAGUCUGAACUACUUCUGAGGUUCAUUAGAGCUUUCUCUAUUGUCACUAUAUCCCCAUAACACUUGUACACAUUAACAGUUGAAGAUGCGGAGACAACCAAAGUUGAGUCAUAGAAUAUCACCAAGAAGCGUACUAACCUCUAAAUAGCUUCCCAAUCAUUUUCCAUAACAGGACCAAUCCUUUUUAUCCCAUUCUCGAUCUCAGCAAAGUAACCAAGGUAUAAUCUGUCCUCUUUCUCCAUCUUGUUGAAAGUUGCUCUGUAUUUAAGAGCCUUAAAUAGCAUGGUGUAAUUUGAAUUCCAUCUGGUUUUCACAUCCAAAGGUAGACUUGUUUUUUCAGCUUACCUGAAUCAACUCUCAGUUCAAAUGAACUUUGCAUUACAAAUGGCAGCCCCACUAGCAUCUAUUUUAGUUAACCCAUCUUUCAAAAUCAAGUUUAUGAUGUGAUCACAACAUCUAACAUGCAUAUAAUCCCCACUUAACACAAACGUUUCAGAAAUUUAACAGCCCAAACUCAGAGUGAUAUCUCCUAAGUGCAGAAGAAUUAGUCGUUGCAUUGUCAAAAGUUACCGAAAAAAUUGUCUCUAAACCCCACUCAGCUAAGAAAUCCAAAAGUACAUUAGAGAUUGUCAAACCUUUGUGAUAUGUGAUGUGCUUGAACCCAAUGAUGAACUUCCUAAGCCUCCAAAAUACAUCAACAAAGUAUGAUGUGACCGCCAUAUAACUCGCACCUGUACAAGGGACAUUUAGAAACUAAACAAAAUGACACAAAGGAAACAUUUUUUUUUUUUAAAAAAACACAAACCCGAUUACCUGUAGGCUGAGCUACACAUAUGCCCGUUAUUAGUGAAAUUCGUUGUUUGUUAUUCUAUGAAGAACUGCUUGAGAGAUCUCUUCUUAGCCACACACAUCUGAACAAUGUGCUUUGUUGCUGUUAUUCUUGAUCAAGGCUUGUAUAGUUGAACCUCCUCAUUCAACAAAAAAAAGUGGCAACUCUCCAAUCACAAGCAUCUCAUUAGUCGCCUCGUGGAAAACAUCCUCAAGAACUUUGGCAAUGCUCAGACCACCACUCAGAUUUAUCACGGACUGACUCUUACCUUGGGUCGGACUAUGAUCGUCUCUCCAUACCUUAAAAUGCUUGCAGAUUCCUAGAUGGUUUUUCAGAUUCGAAGUCCUGGAUGAUGUUGCGCAUGAAUAUAUAGAGCUUCUGGUAGUAGGUGCACUUGCAUUUAUCACGAUUUUCCUUUAUUCUUUUGAAAUGCUUCCAGACGUCAGACCUUGUGUCAAAAAGUUUUUUUGGUUUUGGUUGCUCAUAACUAAUACCUUCAUGAGCUUCCUUUCGCUUAUCACGACUAGCAGUAGUCCUAAUGUCUUAUUCUUCACAACGGUUUUCUGUGUUAGUGUUCUCCGGAGUUGGUUCAUAUGAGGAAUACAUCUGCACAACCAAGAGAAAUGAGGAUAUGAGAGUUUCAUUCAUCAGACAAGAAGUAGACAACAGCGGAAGAAUUUAUUCUCGGAAAAAAAACUAACCGAACAAAGGAGAUGAAUCAUCAGACAAAAAGACAACAAUGAACAAUAUGUGAGAAAUGAAUUCAAAGAACAGAACAGAGCAUCCAAUAAUCAAUUCUAAUCGAAAAAAAGUAGUUCUAAUAAAAAAAAAAAAUUGAUUUACAGGAAGAAGAAGAAGAACAUCAGACAAUUCAAGUUAAAAGAAGAAGAAGAAGAAGAAGAUACCUGAGAUCGAAUUCUCGAUGUUUCAAAAGGCAGAUGGAUUUGUCGAUUUACUGAUUCCAGAUUGAAUCUAGGGAUUUAACGAGGCAAAUGAGAAAUAAUCGUUGGCUGAAAAACUCAAGAAACACACACAUAAUUGUAAUGUAUCUUUGGUUUUUCUUCAGGUUUUUUCGGAUAUCAGGUAUUAUCUGAUCGAAACCGAUAUCUGAAGUUGGUCAGACACAAUAUCCAUUGACCAGUCCGACCUCAAUCCGAAUCGUUUUUUUUUUGUCGGUUUCGG
rnacentral:lncRNA from 1 species